rnacentral:rRNA from 1 species
UCAAGCUACUAAGGGCAUACGGCGGAUGCCUAGGCGCCAUCAGCCGAUGAAGGACGCGGUAAGCUGCGAAAAGCUACGGGGAACUGCAAGCAAGUAUUGAUCCGUAGAUGUCCGAAUGGGGAAACCCACCUGCCGUCAUGGGCAGGUAUCCGAAAGGAAGGGAACCCGGGGAACUGAAACAUCUAAGUACCCGGAGGAAGAGAAAUCAAACGAGAUGCCCACAGUAGCGGCGAGCGAAGAGGGCAGAGGGCAAACCGGGGAGCUACGGCUCUUCGGGGUUGAGGACUGCAUUUAGUCUUAAUGGUCUAUCCGAACUACCUGGAAAGGUAGGCAACACAGUGUAAAAGCCACGUAGGUUAAAGACCAGAGAGAUGAGCAGUAUCCAGAGUACCACGAGGCACGAGGAAUCUUGUGGGAAGCCGGGGGGACCACCCUCCAACCCUAAACACUGAAUGGCGACCGAUAGCGCAUAGUACCGUGAGGGAAAGGUGAAAAGAACCCCGGGAGGGGAGUGAAAGAGAACCUGAAACCGUAUGUCUACAAGCAGUCGGAGCGAAAGCGACGGCGUGCCUAUUGAAGAAUGAACCAACGAGUUACGUGCACUAGCGAGGUUAAGUGGAAGACACGGAGCCGAAGCGAAAGCGAGUCUUAAGAGGGCGAAUAGUUAGUGUACGUAGACCCGAAACCGCAGUGAUCUACCCAUGUCCAGGUUGAAGCGCAGGUAAAAUUGCGUGGAGGACCGAACCUGUGAGCGUUGAAAAGCUUUAGGAUGAGAUGUGGGUAGAGGUGAAAUUCCAAUCGAACGCGGAGAUAGCUGGUUCUCCCCGAAAUAGCUUUAGGGCUAGCCUCAAGUAGUAAGUAUAGGCGGUAGAGCACUGAUCGGGCUAGGGGCCAUAAAGGUUACCGAACCCUGUCAAACUCCGAAUGGUUAUACUGUAGAGCUUGGGAGUCAGACUACGAGUGAUAAGAUCCGUGGUCAAAAGGGAAACAGCCCAGACCACCAGCUAAGGUCCCCAAUGUCGUACUAAGUGGAAAAGGAUGUGGGGUCUCUAAAACAACCAGGAUGUUGGCUUAGAAGCAGCCACCAUUUAAAGAGUGCGUAAUAGCUCACUGGUCGAGAGACCCUGCGCCGAAGAUUACCGGGGCUAAAGUACGAAACCGAAGCUGUGGCUACGACAUAUGUCGUGGGGUAGGGGAGCGUUCUGUGAGGGCUGAAGUCGUUCUGUAAGGAACGGUGGACUUCACAGAAGUGAGAAUGUUGGUAUGAGUAGCGAAAAGAAUGGUGAGAAUCCAUUCCACCGAAAGCAUAAGGAUUCCUGGGCAACGAUCGUCGUCCCAGGGUAAGUCGGGACCUAAUCCGAGGCAUGGAGCGUAGGAGAUGGACAACUGGCAGAUAUUCCAGUACCGGUAAUGAUUGUUUGAGCGAUGGAGUGACACAGGAGGGCAGGCAGGCAGGAGAUUGGUUGUUCCUGUACAAGCGUGUAGGAUGGGUUGUAGGCAAAUCCGCAACCUGUGAGUCUGAGGCGUGAUGUGGAGGUUCCGGAAACGGAACUGAAGCUGCUGACCCCACACUGUCGAGAAAAGCUUCUAGUUAGAGAAUUACCGCCCGUACCGUAAACCGACACAGGUAUGCGGGGAGAGAAUCCUAAGGUGCGCGGGAGAACCCUCGUUAAGGAACUCGGCAAAAUGUACCCGUAACUUCGGGAUAAGGGUAGCCGCUGUUGUGAAGUCUGAACAGACGGAGCAUGAGGCGGUCGCAGAGAAGAGGCCCAAGCGACUGUUUACCACAAACACAGGUGCCUGCUAAAGAGAAAUCUGACGUAUAGGUGCUGACACCUGCCCAGUGCCGGAAGGUUAAGGAAGGAUGUCCGGAGCAAUCCAAAGCAUUCGACCGAAGCCCCGGUGAACGGCGGCCGUAACUAUAACGGUCCUAAGGUAGCGAAAUUCCUUGUCGGGUAAG